rnacentral:rRNA from 1 species
UCGAAUCCUUUAGAGCCACUCGUGAACCCGUUUU